CUGUUCUUUCCUGCAGACGUGGUACAUGGGAUUUUUAUUUGUCAGAACGGGAUGAAGGGAAAGGACCAUAUCCGCCUAAUGGUGUCUGGCUACCAGUAAAUGGGAGAAGAAAGAAAUAACUUCAGAGAUCAUGAGGGCAUGGAAAGCUUAAUGCCAUCCAUCAGGUUGAUAGCCAGAUUAUACCUGUGUUGAUCAGAUUUGCUGCCCCUUCACUCAUAACCUCUUUGUGCUUGAUGGAUCUCAUGAAAUACUGCCAAAGCAGGCCUUCCAAUGAGGAUGAAGGACAAUGCUCCUCACAGCUCAACAGGCAAAUAACACCAAUGGAUUGUUCUAUCCUGAAGGAUUUUCGAUAGGAAUGCCCCCAGAAGCACUUCACUAGAGACAAGGAAAUCCUGAGGUGCUCUGAGAUGAACAAAGGCCAGUCUGAAUUACCUGAGCCCUGGAGAGACGGAAAGUGCAGAAUGGAGAAAGAGACAGUAAUGGAGGGAUUUCAAAGAACUUUUUAUGGCUAGGUUGUCCAUUCAGAUAGAUGUUAGGUUGAUGCUGACUGAACAUUGUUACCACCUGCUGGUUAUUUAGUGGCCCAUGUCAUUGCAGUUCAGUUCCCAGUGAGCAAAUGUGUAUGUCAGGAAAAAAAAAUUCCCAAUCUAGGACCAUUUGAUGGGCACUAAUUGGCACUCUUUGUAGCGGUAUCAGCCAAGAUGCCAAAGAGCGAAUGGCCUGUGGGGACUUUAUUCAGGAGUUUCUGGGUCCCAAGCCUUUGCCAAUUCCCCCAGCUGAUUCUGUUUCCUCAGCUGAAUGUACUCUAGAGGUGUGGACUUCAUGGUUGGGUUGAGAGACGUUGGGCCUAAUUCCCCAUUGUCGUUUGCACCCGGGCAAAGGAUAGGUAUAAACCAUUACCACAUCAAUUCUCCGCUUGCUCACACUGGCUGCAGAGCUUUACGCCCACUGUUCACAGGCAUAAAUGACAAUGCAAGGUGCAGGGAAGUGGGAAAACAGCCGCAUCGGCUGUGAGAAGAGGAUGUGUAUUUGACUAGGUUGUACCUAUUCUGUGGAUAAACUUCUGUCUCCAGAGCUGUCAAUCCGGAACCUUUCAUCAGCAGUAAAUUCACUUUAGAAAAAUCAAACAGAGAGGCAGAGAGAUUAGUCAGAGUUCUCAAAUGUUUCAAGAAAGUUUAAUGUUGUUAUCUCAGCAGACAGAUAUCCAACUAUUCCUCCACUGGUUGACAUAAGACACAUUUGCUGACAGCGACAUUAUAGAACUCUCUCUCUCUUUCUCGAGUGAGUGAAGGUUAUUAUAUCAUGCUUAAAUUGUAUUUUAAAAACAUGCCAAUCAAACAAUUAAAUUAGAGACAGAUUUUACUCUAUUGGAAACUUUUUGCUGCUUAAUAUAUAAAUUUCCUUGUUCAUUUGGAACCCCCAGACAUCACAUAGCUUCUAGAUUCAGAGCUCCCUCCAGCUCUUUUCUUUCCCUGUGAUUCUCUCAGUUUUACUUAGGAACUAUUGAUCUACCAAGGCUUUUUAAAAAAAAAAUCCCACAAUUUUCUUGGACCACAGAAUUUAACUGACUGGGCUGUAUAUAAAGCAGGCUGCUUGCCAGCUAGACACCCUCGCAUGCUCACCUAAGCAAAUUUUACUCCCCCCGGUGGAGAAAUCAGUCAGUAUCAGGUUUCUGCUAUGUUAUUCGCUAUAUUAUUCAUAUCACCACAGAAGCCAAUAAGGGGCGACUCCAGACUGCCACCAGUGUAGGUCCCCCAGCACAGGAGGGAAGCCAUACAAGGGAGGAUGCACAUUCCCUGUGCAUUGCAAAUCCCAGUUCUGUGCACAAGGCUGAAAUGGGCUGGGGGGAGAAGAGGCUGUCCAAAACUAGGUCAAGGAUGGAGUCAAUCCGUGGCAUCAGCUUCUACAUGGAUCCUUGAUUCUCACCUUCCCUUGGCUCGUGCUGUGCAGCCUGUGGGUCAGCACCAGGGAAAUGUAUCAGCUGAUAGGUAAAAUCCUAUCAUCAGAUCCACCAGGCAGAUCUCAGAUGAGAAGCUUACAGUGGAAGGCUGCAAUAUAUAACUAGGACAUUUUGCAGGAUUUUUCCAUUCUCCAUAUACCCCAUAGUUUAGUUUGGGGCAGAUAUAAUCCUGCUAUAGCAUGUGGCAUGCUAUUUCAAGGAAACAUAUCAUUUCCUCAAGGUCAACCCUCUUGAUUUUCAAUAGAUAAGAACCUCCUCUCUGCAUGUAUUUAUAAUCUUAGACGAGCAAAAUA